AAUUUGUAAACACAAUGGAGUCCUGAAAUUUCACUUGAGAAAAAGGUAAAAAAAUGAAAAUUCGAAAAUCAAGAAAAAGAAAAAAUCAUGUAGACAGUCAACUUCAACCACUUCCACAGAUCGAAUUGAUAAACCUUCACCUGCUAGUUCUAGCACAAUUAUCACAUCUUCAAUUCUUCCUGAUGUAGUAAAACAAGCUAUGGCUGAUGUUAUUCAACCAUAUUUUCAUAGUGUUAUUAAACAGUUGGAGGAAAUUAAGUCAGAGUUAGGUGUGCAGCGCCAAAAGCAAGUUUCUAUUAAUAAUAAUACAAGUGGAAAUCUUCCAGAAAAUUUUAUAUUUCCAUUAAAAGAAAUUGAUGAACUCUUAUAGUUAAAUAGCAUUUUUCUGGAAAAUACUGAUCAAAAUGUCGAUCAAAUGCAGUUAUUUUUUUGUCUCUAAUUGAAGGAAAUGGUCUUGAUGACUGUUUGAGAAAAGUUGCUAAGAAAAUCUUGACAGCAAAACUCUCAAUGCUUUAUAACUUUACAGGAAGAAAAGAGUAAAUUAGAGUUUGGUUGUCUAGUUGGGGUGAAAAAUGUGAUAUAUGGAGGUAAUGGCAGUAGUUCAAUGUUGUAGUUUAUUAAAGAAAUCCACUAGAUGUUUUCCUCAGGGAAUAGGUGCUACAAAAUAGGCAAAAUAAGAAAUACACUCAUAUUAAAUAAUAAACACUGACCUAUCUAUCCAUAAUUAUGGUUAUUGAAAAGUGGAGGGUUCGAGCUCAAGCUAAGAAGAAGAACUACAAACGCCACAAACGAUGAUGCAUUAAUCACUUCCUACACCACUACAUCUAUAUGUCUAAUUGUACUUACAUUUCACAAAAGGUUUGGUAAACCAGAGCUGAAAGCUAAUGUUAAUGAGCAGUGGCAGAAACAAGCCUGCAUCGGACAAACCAUUAAUGCACCUCUCUCAGAUGCCUCGAUUUUUCUACUCUAAGAGAUAAAUGAUCUUCUGGAAAUCAACCCAAUUGCAAGAUUCUGAGUAGUGAUCAAGAACAGUGCAGUAAGAAAACUAUCCCUAAGCGACAAUUAGUCAACCGAACAAGAUGCUGCCAAAAUAGCUAUCAAGUUCAAUUGACAUGGAUGGUCUCGAAAAAAUCGCUAGUAGAGGCGUAGAGGAAAGUUCUUUAGAAGACAUUUAAUUUUUAUAUU
rnacentral:lncRNA from 1 species